GGUUUCCGUAGGUGAACCUGCGGAAGGAUAUUACAGAG
rnacentral:rRNA from 1 species